rnacentral:tRNA from 1 species
GCCGCGGUAGCUCAGUUGGUAGAGCAUCGAAUGUGUUAUUCGAAGGUCACAGGUUCGGUCCCUGCCCGCGGCA